AGAGGGAAGCUGGAUAAGAGGGCGUUAUCUGUCACCCCGUUGAUCACCAGGGCUGAUUCAGAUGGUCUCGUUGCCUAAUCAGGUGUCCCCUUCCUCCCUCACCACUCCAUGAGUAUCCCUCACCACUCCAUGAGUAUCCUUCCCCAAGCUGAGCACACGGUUGGAAGAGGAUGACCGCUGAUUGAAAGAAAACAUAUAGGAGUAGCUGCAUUCCCCUGGCAAGCUCUCAAAGCAAGGCUCUUUGUAUGACUUUAAAUGAUGACUCCAAAAUAUACCAAGUCAUUCAGACUUCU
rnacentral:snRNA from 1 species